CACUCGCUAAUCUACCGCUACCAAAACAUAAACGAUGCCAAACUUGCGCGUCGUUAAACUGCUAUCCUCGCUAAACUGUGUCAAGUUGAUAUCGUUGGACACACCGAUUAGAAACACCGAUAAGAAUUUUUUGGAAGAAACGCAAGACGACACCGCGGGUACACCGCGAGACCCGAAGCGGAGUCGAACACGAAGUAGAAGCGAGUUCUAGGUACGACUGGUAGGGGUCUGUACGGGGUCUCGAGAAGAGCUGGAAGGGGAUAAGGUCGAAGGUCAGGGCUAUGCCGUACGACCCGUGACCCAUGACCCUCUCGAUCCCUCCGACCCGGCCGACCCUGCCUCCCCUCUCCCAAGCUGUUCUUUCUUCCUCCGCGUCCGCAUCUCUCCGCGGCUUCUUCUGUGCCGUUUCGACGCCGCCAGAUGCGUCGCCAUCUCUUCCUCCCUCUUCUUUUCUUUCUUUGCUGUAUUACGGAUGGCACGUUUCCGUGGGAAUCAUCUUUUGAUCGAGGAAUCUUUACUAUAUAGCGUAUACAUGCGGUAAAGUAUACAACAGCUGUGCAUAGUAGUUAAGAUAGAGUAGUAAAAAUAAAUCUUUGCUGUAUCUUUAGUACUCGCUAUGAAAAGAGUAUACGCUUUUAGGAUCGUUAUAUAGUAACUAUCAGGUGCGAUGGAACUUGUGUUAAAAAUAGACAAUACAUUGAAUUACGACUAACGAGAAUAUCGUUGAAUCUGUUGAUUGCGUUGCAAAUAAUCCAAACGUAGAAUGUAAUUCUCAAUGUGAUAAUACAUGUACGUGUGUAUAUCAAGACUUCUUCCAUUUUUACGCGUUCGUAUCUCUUCCUCUUCGUUCUAUUCGGCUGACAACUAAGUGAUUGCGGAUUUUGUCAAUAACACCUGAUGUCAAAAUCCGCAAUCGUUUAGAUGCCGACCCAAUAGAUAGAAGAAAACGCAGAGAAGUUUCUAUGCUCUCGAAAUCUUUGAUUUUAUGAAACGUUCGUAGAUGUAAUUUCUACGUAGAGUGUUUCGUAAAUUACGAUUUACAUUUUUGAAGAAUUCAGGGAGUGCCUUUGAGAGAUAGAUGCAUCGAGAAACGCGGUUAUUCUUACGAUUCAAUCUCGUUGUAAAACAUCCGCCUUGCUUCGACGAGGAAGCAGAUGUCGUGUAAUAAUACGAAUAUGCGAUGUUAUAAAAAUUAAUAGCGUGUCUAAGUAACAUAUUUUUCUUCGGUAACUGUUACGUUAAAAGAGGAAAUUACCAUGUUUACGCUGGUCAUGCCCGGUAUCCCGUUUCCUGACACACUACCUUUCUAAUUAAAAAGGUGAUGUGAUAAUUUUUGUAAUGAAUUUUAAUUCACGCAAGGAAUGAAUUCUGUGGUAUUGUGUAUGAAUGUUACGUAAACCGCGAUAGGAAUCUAUAGAUGUAAAGGGCGGAUGUGUAUCUCUGGCGAAAGAGUUAAAUAUGGCAAGCUAAGUGAGGAUACAGUCGAGUUUCUUCUUCUCUUCGUGACUGCAUUUCUUUUUUCCAAGUGACCGCUCACCGUGAGAUUCCUCGCUUCUGGAAAAAUGGCGAAACGUGAUCUCUGUUUCCUCUGUGAGAAGCCCGAGCUUUCUGCUUAUUCUGCAUUUUUCCCGCACGAGGAUACGGAACACUGGAUCACGAAUCAUACUUGCAGACGUACAUAUGAUCGUAAUGCUCUCUCGUCCGCUUAUUUCACGAUGAAUAAUUUCUAUUAAAACUUUGCUCUUCGAAAGUUUUCGCGAUACGAUCGAACGCCAAUCCCAGUGUACUUUUUACGCAGUAACUUUCUUCCCACAUUUUUUUUUUUUUUUUUUUUUUUUAUUAGUAUUUUCAUCAUUUUACACGUAACGUGCAAAAAAAUUCUGUAAUUCUAUUUUAUCGCGCCAAUGAUAGAAGAAAGUAUAGACUACUACGUAAUACGCGUCAAGUAUCAGAGUAUUAGAAUACAAUGGAUUUCUACAAUAUUUCCUUCUUAAAAUAUUAAACUUUUAUCGAUUCAGCUGAAGUCUAAAUGUGAAUUAAAGUUCACAAAAGCCACCGCCAUAAUGACAUUCGUUCUUAAUAGAUUCAAAAUUUAUAAUGCAAAAUGUAUACCAAACUGUUUAUACUAUAAAUCUUGAAUAAAAUAGAAUCGCUGAAAAAUUCAAUUGAA